UGGCUCAGGAUGAACGCUAGCUACAGGCUUAACACAUGCAAGUCGAGGGGCAGCAUUUCAGUUUGCUUGCAAACUGGAGAUGGCGACCGGCGCACGGGUGAGUAACACGUAUCCAACCUGCCGAUAACUCGGGGAUAGCCUUUCGAAAGAAAGAUUAAUACCCGAUGGCAUAAUUAGACCGCAUGGUCUUAUUAUUAAAGAAUUUCGGUUAUCGAUGGGGAUGCGUUCCAUUAGGCAGUUGGUGAGGUAACGGCUCACCAAACCUUCGAUGGAUAGGGGUUCUGAGAGGAAGGUCCCCCACAUUGGAACUGAGACACGGUCCAAACUCCUACGGGAGGCAGCAGUGAGGAAUAUUGGUCAAUGGGCGCAGGCCUGAACCAGCCAAGUAGCGUGAAGGAUGACUGCCCUAUGGGUUGUAAACUUCUUUUAUAUGGGAAUAAAGUUUUCCACGUGUGGAAUUUUGUAUGUACCAUAUGAAUAAGGAUCGGCUAACUCCGUGCCAGCAGCCGCGGUAAUACGGAGGAUCCGAGCGUUAUCCGGAUUUAUUGGGUUUAAAGGGAGCGUAGGUGGACAGUUAGGUCAGUUGUGAAAGUUUGCGGCUCAACCGUAAAAUUGCAGUUGAUACUGGCUGUCUUGAGUACAGUAGAGGUGGGCGGAAUUCGUGGUGUAGCGGUGAAAUGCUUAGAUAUCACGAAGAACUCCGAUUGCGAAGGCAGCUCACUGGACUGCAACUGACACUGAUGCUCGAAAGUGUGGGUAUCAAACAGGAUUAGAUACCCUGGUAGUCCACACAGUAAACGAUGAAUACUCGCUGUUUGCGAUAUACAGUAAGCGGCCAAGCGAAAGCAUUAAGUAUUCCACCUGGGGAGUACGCCGGCAACGGUGAAACUCAAAGGAAUUGACGGGGGCCCGCACAAGCGGAGGAACAUGUGGUUUAAUUCGAUGAUACGCGAGGAACCUUACCCGGGCUUAAAUUGCAUUUGAAUAAUCUGGAAACAGGUUAGCCGCAAGGCAAAUGUGAAGGUGCUGCAUGGUUGUCGUCAGCUCGUGCCGUGAGGUGUCGGCUUAAGUGCCAUAACGAGCGCAACCCUUAUCUUUAGUUACUAACAGGUCAUGCUGAGGACUCUAGAGAGACUGCCGUCGUAAGAUGUGAGGAAGGUGGGGAUGACGUCAAAUCAGCACGGCCCUUACGUCCGGGGCUACACACGUGUUACAAUGGGGGGUACAGAAGGCAGCUACCUGGUGACAGGAUGCUAAUCCCAAAAGCCUCUCUCAGUUCGGAUCGAAGUCUGCAACCCGACUUCGUGAAGCUGGAUUCGCUAGUAAUCGCGCAUCAGCCAUGGCGCGGUGAAUACGUUCCCGGGCCUUGUACACACCGCCCGUCAAGCCAUGAAAGCCGGGGGUACCUGAAGUACGUAACCGCAAGGAGCGUCCUAGGGUAAAACUGGU
rnacentral:rRNA from 1 species